rnacentral:rRNA from 1 species
UACGUAGGGUGCGAGCGUUAAUCGGAAUUACUGGGCGUAAAGCGUGCGCAGGCGGUUCGUUGUGUCGGCGGUGAAAGCCCCGGGCUCAACCUGGGAAUGGCCGUUGAAACUGGCGAACUGGAGUGUGGUAGAGGGGGGUGGAAUUCCGCGUGUAGCAGUGAAAUGCGUAGAGAUGCGGAGGAACACCGAUGGCGAAGGCAGCCCCCUGGGCUGACACUGACGCUCAGGCACGAAAGCGUGGGGAGCAAACAGG